CCUACGGGCGGCAGCAGUGAGGAAUUUUGGUCAAUGGGCGCUAGCCUGAACCAGCCAAGUAGCGUGAAGGAUGACUGCCCUAUGGGUGGUAAACUUCUUUUAUAUGGGAAUAAAGUGCAGUAUGUAUACUGCUUUGCAUGUACCUUAUGAAUAAGGAUCGGCUAACUCCGUGCCAGCAGCCGCGGUAAUACGGAGGGUCCGAGCGUUAUCCGGAUGUAUUGGGUUUAAAGGGAGCGUAGGCGGGUUGGUAAGUCAGUUGUGAAAGUUUGCGGCUGAACCGUAAAAUUGCAGUUGAUACUGGCGUCCUUGAGUACAGUAGAGGUAGGCGGAAUUCGAGGUGUAGCGGUGAAAUGCUUAGAUAUCACGAAGAACUCCGAUUGCGAAGGCAGCCUGCUGGACUGUAACUGACGCUGAUGCUCGAAAGUGUGGGUAUCAAACAGGAUUAGAUACCCUAGUAGUC
rnacentral:rRNA from 1 species